rnacentral:lncRNA from 1 species
CAACGCACGUCCACAAGGGGCGAGUUAGUCGGACAACGCACGUCCACAAGGGGCGAAUUAGUCGGACAACGCUACAACAUACGUCCACAAGGGGUGAGUUAGUCGGACAACGCUACAAUAUACGUCCACAAGGGGUGAGUUAGUCGGACAACGCACGUCCAGAAGGGGUGAGUUAGUCGGACAACGCUACAACAUACGUCCACAAGGGGUGAGUUAGUCGGACAACGCACGUCCACAAUGGGUGAGUUUGUCGGACAACGCUACAACAUAUGCCCACAAGGGGUGAGUUAGUCGGACAACACACGUCCAGAAGGGGUGAGUUAGUCGGACAACGCUACAACAUACGUCCACAAGGGGUGAGUUAGUCGGACAACGCUACAACACACGUCCACAAGGGGUGAGUUAGUCGGACAACGCACCUCCACAAGGGGUGAGUUAGUCGGACAACGCACGUCCACAAGGGGUGAGUUAGUCGGACAACACACGUCCACAAGGGGUGAGUUAGUCAGACAACGCUACAACAUACGUCCACAAGGGGUGAGUUAGUCGGACAACGCUACAACAUACGUCCACAAGGGGUGAGUUAGUCGGACAACGCUACAAUAUACGUCCACAAGGGGUGAGUUAGUCGGACAACGCACGUCCACAAGGGGUGAGUUAGUCGGACAACGCUACAACAUACGUCCACAAGGGGUGAGUUAGUCGGACAACGCACGUCCACAAGGGGUGAGUUUGUCGGACAACGCUACAACAUACGCCCACAAGGGGUGAGUUAGUCGGACAACACACGUCCACAAGGGGUGAGUUAGUCGGACAACGCUACAACAUACGUCCACAGGGGGUGAGUUAGUCGGACAACGCACGUCCACAAGGGGUGAGUUAGUCGGACAAUGCUACAACAUACGUCCACAAGGGGUGAGUUAGUCGGACAACGCUACAACAUUCGUCCACAAGGGGCGAGUUAGUCGGACAACGCACGUCCACAAGGGGCGAGUUAGUCGGACAACGCACGUCCACAA